AUUGAACGCUGGCGGCAGGCCUAACACAUGCAAGUCGAGCGAGCGGCGGACGGGUGAGUAAUGUAUGGGGACUGCCCGAUAGAGGGGGAUAACUACUGGAAACGGUAGCUAAUACCGCAUACUAUCGGAUAACCCAUAUUGGAUUAGCUAGUAGGUGAGGUAAUGGCUCACCUAGGCGACGAUCCCUAGCUGGUCUGAGAGGAUGAUCAGCCCCACUGGGACGGAGACACGGCCCGGACUCGUCCGGAGGCAGCCGUGGGGAAUAUUGCACAAUGGGCGCAAGCCUGAUGCAACCAUGCCGCGUGUAUGAGGAAGGCCCUAGGGUUGUAGAGUACUUUCAGUCGGAAGGCGUUACCGACAGAAGAGGCACCGGCUGACGCCGUGCCAGCAGCCGCGGUAAUUC
rnacentral:rRNA from 1 species